AAUUUAGGGCUCGCUAUGGCUUGAUGGGUGGGAGCAGCUCGAAGAAGCGCCCUCUGAAAGUUGAACAAAAAGAAGAUGUAAUUGUACAGGAAAGGAUACCUGCUGGUACACGCGAGGCAAGUGAUCUUGUCCAGGAUGUCCAGGACUUUGUUGAAACCGUCCAUAUCGAUCAUAAUAAAGCCGAAACUCCUAAGAUGAUUGAAAAUGACCUGGAAAAUUCCAACAAGACCCUCUCCUUUGACAAAGAAGAUAUGAUCGACUCAAACAAAAUAGUCUCUUCUGAAAACUCCUUCCCAACUCCAGGCUCCUCUCCUGUGAACUUCUCCAAAGAACCCUUCCCCUCCAACAACCUCCCCACGAGGUCCCCCCUCCAGUUUGAUCAGAAUAACACGGUCUCCUCUCGGAAACCUCCCCACCCUGUUGUGUCAGACGGCUUAAUGACCACGUCAAACAGGAACCAGACUAAUUUAGGUCAGAGUACACGACACUUUAGUUCAAUAUAUCGUCUGUUGGUAACCUUGGUAACGGGCAGGUCCUUGUUGGUAACCCUGGUAACGGUCAGGUCUCUCAGAAGCAGUUUAGUAAGAGUCAGAACUUCUACAAAAGCCGGGAUCAAACCGGUUCAGGUCGCUUCAACUCCUACAGUGGUCCGGUAGAGGACCACACCCCUUCACACUUCUCCGGGGUAUACAAUAGACAUGCUAGUGAUCCUAACACUAACAAGUCGGGAGGGGAUAGAGACGUCGCUUCUCUUCUCCGCAAGGACAAAUUCUCUCUCCUCGGUUCCCAACUCCAACAACAGGAAUCCCAAAUCUUCUCCCGCUCCCAACAAACAAACGGACAAACAAACGGACUGUCCCGGUCCUCAGCUCCAUUUCCUGCUCCUUCAUCAACUACAUACAAGUUCGACCCCGGCAAGUUCCGGCAAGUUAACGAGAGCACGCCUGUGAUCAGCACGGGACGAAAUGGUAGUAUCAAGAAGACUGGGCUAGCGUCCGGACCGCUUGAUGAUAGGGAUGAGGAACUAAUUGCGAGUAUUGAGCGGGAAUUUGACUUCAGUUAUUGAGCAUUCGUCAGAAAGUGUUAGCUAAUUAGUGACAUCAACAUUCUGCCCUCAGUAUUGUAUAUAUGACAGUAAACAGCAAGUAUCAUAUUAUUUCCAGAUAUUUUAGCAUCAGACAGUUUCAGAUCAUAUUCUUGAGAAUAGGGUUGUAUUGCUAAUGAAGAAGGUAAUAAACAGUAGAGUAAAGAUGGAAUUAACCCAUCAGGAAUUGAAACCGGGAAUGUUGUUGUCUUAUGCGUGAUUUAAUUUCACUUUUAAUGUCGUCACGUGAUAAAUCCGAUCCCGGACAUCCCACAAGAUCCCGAACAUCCCACAAGAUCCCGGACAUCCCAAAAGAUCCCGGGCAUCCCACGAGAUUCCGGACAUCCCAUGAAUUCUUGUAGUUGCUCAAUUCCUUAUUAGCUGAUGAUCUGUUGAUCGCAGAAAUAUGUAUAAAUAUUAACUAGUUUAGUGCACGAACCUGUAGAAUCUAUUUAUAAUUAUAAUAGGAA